CCCUUAGAUGUUCUGGGCCGCACGCGCGCUACACUGACGAAGUCAGCGAGCAUGUCCUACGCCGACAGGUGCGGGGAAUCUUGUCAAACUUCGUCGUGAUGGGGAUUGAUUAUUGAAAUUCUUGAUCAUCAACGAGGAAUUCCUAGUAAGCGCAAGUCAGCAGCUUGCGUUGAUUACGUCCCUGCCCUUUGUACACACCGCCCGUCGCUACGACCGAUUGAAUGGUUUAGUGAGAUCUUCGGAUUGGCGCCACUGCGGCUCAGCAAUGGGCUCGGUGGAUGCCGAAAAGUUGAUCAAACUUGAUCAUUUAGAGGAAGUAAAAGUCGUAACA
rnacentral:rRNA from 1 species